rnacentral:misc_RNA from 1 species
CGCACCUUGCGCCCUUUGGUAUUCCGAAGGGCAUGCCUGUUUGAGUGUCAUUAAAUUAUCAACUUCAUCAACUUUGUUGUCGAUGAAGCUUGGAUGUGAGGGUCUGUGCUGGCUCCCUAGUUGAGUCGGCUCCCUUUAAAUGCAUUAGCAGAGCUUCUUGGCUUUUCUGUCUCUGGUGUGAUAAUUAUCUACGCUAGAGGGUUAAGUCUAACACGAGCUCAGCUUAUAACUGUCUUGUAAAAGACAAUUUAAUUUAUUUGACUUGACCUCAAAUCAGGUAGGACUACCCGCUGAACUUAA